UUCACAGCUAGGAGCAUCUCCCAACCCUUCAGACCGCACCUUCAGGCACCUUUUAUUUUUUCUGUGUCUCUUUUGGAAAAGUGCAAGUGGCGCAAAUUACGAAGAACCUUAACUACGAAGGGAGGGGACAGAGGUUCCAUUGGCUGUCCCCAGUGAGAGUCUUAAAGACACCUGCAGGCAAUCAACUGUCCACACCGGGGAACACUGAACCAUUGCUCCUCGUCUCCACCCGCUGAAGUUAGCUCUCCAGAGCUAGCUCGCAUCCCCACACAGAAGAUCUGCGGCGCUCGCUGGUCCCGGGUCGGGCGCUCCUGGGGAGCCGCGGAGGCCGGGCGGACCACAGCGGAGCUGGAAACCCGGGGGCGAGCGUGCGGAGCCUUUCCAGGCGAAACGCAGCGCGCACCGCCCGGGCGGCGCCCAGCAUGGAGUGGAAGCUGAAUCUGCUGCUCUACCUAGCGCUCUUCUUCUUUCUGCUCUUCCUCCUGUUCCUCCUGCUCUUCGUGGUCAUCAAGCAGCUGAAGAACUCGGUGGCCAAUACGGCCGGGACCCUGCAACCCGGGCGCCUGUCCCUGCACCGGGAGCCGUGGGGUUUCAAUAACGAGCAAGCUGUGUGACCCAGCUGGCAGGGUUUCAGCUCCGCCGGGAUUCAGGAUCUAUGUCAUCGGGACCCAGACUGGUACCCUUGACCGGUGACACCCAGGACCGAAACUCCUAUCACAGCCUAGGAGCCCUGCAAAGCCGGGGAGUGGAGGAGAUCUUGCAAAAGGAUUCUUAUGUGAUCUCCGUGGCUCCCCAAUAGAAGGAGGAAGCAGGGAAGAAAACAGAAUGUGCCUGUCUGAGUCCAUCUUCCUUCUAAAGAGUUUCCCGGGGACCAGGACUACGUCACGGGCCACUGUCUUUUAACAAUAUGGAUGCUGUUGCCUUCAAUCAAAACCCAAGCUCUCUAGAUUAGGACAAAGAAUCCUGGGUGGACAAGAUCCAGAAGUCUAUGCUCUAGUACAAAGCACAGUUGUGCAGAAAGCAGUGUUCAAGAUGGAACUCCUGGUUCCCACACAGCCCCACCGAUGUGGCUGAGCAGAGUGACGAUGUCUCCCUAGUUCUCAAGAAAUAUUUGUCAGGACUGGCUUCCUCUCUGGUCAGCUGACUCCCCUGUACCAGGAUUUUCUAGGCAUGUAGCCUGGAAGCCUUACAUUUGUGUGUGUUGGGGGAUCUGGAGGUUGAGGGGGUCUUCAUAAUCUCCUCACGGAACUUUGGUAACAGAUCAACAUAGGUUGUUUUCUUUUGCUCCUUUUUGGUCCCCUCCAUCACGUUCCAGUUAGUUCAAUUUUGGUGGCAGCUAAGUUUGUGUAUUUGAUCCCUAUAAAGGCCAUCCCUUCCAUGCACAAGGAAAGACACUCUGCUCAGAAAGGCUACCUCUCUUCCUUCCACCCUCGAUCCAGGAAUAUCCCGGGAGAUUGCCUCUCGAGCUGCUUCUACUCACAGCCUACGUACUGGCCAAGCCGAGGGAGAAGAAACACUUCCCACACCCAGAGCUGUGCAAAAGAACUUUCUGUGAUAUGAAACUGUUCUAUAUCUGUGGUGCCCAAUACGGCAACUACUAGUCACAUGUGUCUAGUAAACACUGAAAUAUGGCUAACGGGGCUUAGCUUUUAUUUAAUUUCACCCGAGACAGCCACUUGGGGCUAGUGGCUAUUGUAUGUACAGUUCACACCAUUCUCGUGUGUGUGUGUGUGUGUGUGUGUGUGUGUGUGUGUGUGUAUUAGAGUCAAAGAGGGGAGGUGGCUGCUAGCCAUGAACUCCACAUCCCAUGGUCUUCAUUGUUUUUCUUGCUUUCAGUUUUUCUCCUUGAUGAAAAAGAAAGUCAGUAUGUUAGCUCUAAAUUGAGAAUGCUACCAUCUACCUAUUGCAUGUCUUCUUGUACCAAAUGAGAUAGGUUUCAGUGAUAAUUGACCAUGGUAAAAAUGGAAGUGUUGAUUCACUACAUCUCCAUAUUCCCAGUCCUUGCCCCUGACCAAGGUCACAUUGUCCUAGGCACUUUAUUCCAUUUUAGUUCUCUUUUUAAUAUUGUGAAUCCCAAGCAAUUAUUGUAUAUGUUUUUCAAAAUACCUAAUGGUUUAUAUUUUUUAAGGCUGUAAAAUAAAAAUUGACAAUUACAUGUAACUCAGGUUUUGUGUGUAUGUGUGUCUGUGCAAUUUUUAGUAACUUACUACCCAAACUUUAUUGUAUUGAUUAGGAUAUGAAUAAAUGGAAAGUGAUAUUGAUUUUUGUAUCAGAUUUCAAAUUUUUUUUUCCAAGACGGGGUUUCUCUGUGUUCUCUGUGUAGCUCUGACUGUCCUGGAACUCACUUUGUAGACCAGGCUAGCCUCGAACUCAGACAUCCGCCUGCCUCUGCCUCCUGAGUGCUGGGAUUAAAGGUGUGAUCCACCACGCCCAGCUGGUGGAUUUUCAUUUUAAUGGACAUAUUUAUACGCCAAUGAAUACUUUAUUUAAAAAAAUAUUAAAUGAGUCUUCUGUUAUGGUCAAAGCUUGAAUAACAGUAGUUGUCUCCAGGCUCCCAGUUUGUAUUGAGUUUUAGAAAUUAUUAGACCGCCGCAGACAUAUUCCUUUCACAGACGCAUAGUCUCCCACCUGUGGUUAAUCUAUGGAUUUAAUUGCAAAGAUUUUUUAAAAGGUGUAUUAUUAAUUUUGAAGUUUUUAAUUUAUCCAUGUUUUGUUCAUUGCUUUCUGUGUCCUCUUUAGGUGACAUUUGCCUACUCUGCCCUCACCCUGGCUACCAAACGGGAUUCUGCUCUGCCUUCUUCCAUACUAGAAGUAUAGUUUUAACUUUUACU
rnacentral:lncRNA from 1 species